UACGGGGGGGGCAAGCGUUGUUCGGAAUUACUGGGCGUAAAGGGCUCGUAGGCGGCCAACUAAGUCAUACGUGAAAUCCCUCGGCUUAACCGGGGAACUGCGUCUGAUACUGGAUGGCUUGAGUUCGGGAGAGGGAUGCGGAAUUCCAGGUGUAGCGGUGAAAUGCGUAGAUAUCAGGAGGAACACCGGUGGCGAAGGCGGGUCUCUGGGACGUAACUGACGCUGAGGAGCGAAAGCGUGGGUAGCAAACAGG
rnacentral:rRNA from 1 species